GCCCGGGUGGUGAAAUGGUAGACACAAGGGAUUUAAAAUCCCUCGCCUAAUAAGCGUGCCGGUUCGAGUCCGGCUCCGGGUACCA
rnacentral:tRNA from 1 species